AACUACUUUGUGAAUUUUUUGUAACAAACUAAAAUGAGAAUCUAAUCAAAUCUAAAAUAACCUAUGUUACAAAAAUUGUUACGGCAAAACCUAUGUGACCUAGGAUGCAACUACUUGUCUUGUUUCUAACCAUACAUUUAUAUUAACUUCGUUUCACUUUCUGUUUGUUUGUGGUCCUACACACUCACUCCCUCGCUGUGGACAUGGAGAACAAACUCAUGCGUGCUGUUCAGUACAAUGCCUAUGGUGGAGGAUCCACUGGCUUGAAGGUUCUUCUACUUCUUUUAAUUACUCUCUCAGAUAUAUAUAUUCAUUUCUGUUUUAACUUAAUUAUGUAUUUGUCAAUGUGAUUUGUGUGGAUUAUUUGAUUAAAGUGAAGAGAAAGAGAUAUAUUAUAAUUCUCAUGAUUACAUUUUGUUUUUAUGUUUAUAACUAGUUUUAAUUUUAUAGGAAACAAUUUAGAUUAGGGAAGGCACGUCUGCUGGUGCGAGCGGAAGGUCUAACCAUAUGUGCCAACCUCAAUUGGUUAUGUUUAUAAUUAGUGAUCAAGGUUUUAGAUUUUUUUUUUAACGACAAAUGUUAGUAUUUUCUCCUCGCUAGAUUUGAACCCUUUAAUCCGGUUGCUCAACCAAGUGAGCCACUCAUCCACCCUGAUCAAGGUUUUAAAUUGUGAUCACGGGUGUCAUUAUUUUGCAGAAAUUACGGUCGGCUAAGCCAGAUGACCAAAACUAUGGUUAGACAGACAUCAAAUAACUUCUACAUUGUCGACAGCUUUUUAAACCUCGCCGGUGAUUGUGAUACUAUCAGUUAGUGUGAUUUUUUUUCUAUCCAAUCUUAUGUUCGAUUAGAACAACAUUGUUAUACGAUGAGCCUCCUCCACCAAAAUAUACAUUCUCUUCAUGGUAAUGUCUAGCUGUUUAGAAUGUCUUAUCAGCUUAUCUACUGACAUGAGUUUUGUGAGAUUGUUUGGGAGAAUUUAUGAAAACAACUUAUGACAAUUUUCAUAAGUUGUCUUCAACUUAUUUUCAUAAGUUCUCCAAUAUAGCUUAUAAAAACAACUUAUAGCAUUUAUUAAAACAAUUUAAAGUUCUUUUAUCUUUUAUGAUAGAAAUAGCUUAAGCAAGCU
rnacentral:lncRNA from 1 species